rnacentral:rRNA from 1 species
UACGUAGGUGGCAAGCAUUGUCCGGAAUUAUUGGGCGUAAAGCGCGCGCAGGUGGUUCUUUAAGUCUGAUGUGAAAGCCCACGGCUCAACCGUGGAGGGUCAUUGGAAACUGGGGAACUUGAGUGCAGAAGAGGAAAGUGGAAUUCCACGUGUAGCGGUGAAAUGCGUAGAGAUGUGGAGGAACACCAGUGGCGAAGGCGACUUUCUGGUCUGUAACUGACACUGAGGCGCGAAAGCGUGGGGAGCGAACAGG